UUGUGAUAUUACAAACUAGGUUCUUAUCAUUUUUAGACUCUAUUUGGUGUCAGAAUAAUUUAUUCAAUAAUAACUUAUUGAAUUUGAAAGUAUUUUUAUGUGAUUAGAUAUAAACGGUUUGAUUUUGCUCAUUAAGAGAUUUUAGUAUCCAUGAUUAAAUAGGACGUCGUUAUUUUACCUAGGAGAUAUUUUUUUAUACUGUAAAAAUAAUUUAUAAGCCAAAUAUAGUAUGUCAGAUCAUUGGCGCUAACUAUUAAUUUUAAAAACUCGAACGGUUAGAAAUACGCAACUAAUUCACUUAAAGCGUACAGAUACAGCGCCUACUGGUAUCGAUUGUGAUUCAGCCCAACCAGCCUCACACCGGCACACCUAGUCUCACACCAUUUGAAACAUGACUCAGUCCAACAUGACCUCCCGCCACAAAACAGAAUGACAAUCCAUUUAAGUCAACAUAGUACACAUUCUCGACAAUCAUGUUUUGCAUAAAAUACUUAGGUGUAACAUUGACACGAAUAUAACUAUCUAAUCCUUGAAUAUUCCUUGGCGACCAUUUAUACGAAACAGCCUUUGAAUAAAAAAAAUCUGAAAUGAUUAUUUUAUAAAAAAUAUAUAUUUUUGCAAACAGAAAUGUUUUGAUCUUUCAUUUAUUAAUCAUAUAUAUGAUGAUUUGCAUCUAAACAUUGACACUUAUGAUGUAGACGCUUAAUUGAUUUGUGUAUGCAAAAUAAUAAAAUAUCUCUGGUCGUCCCAACCAAAGUCUCAUGCUAUUCUUUCACUCAUAAAAAUUUAUUACAAAAUAUAUAUACAUGUAUAUUGCGAAAACCAAAGUCUCAUCGCAUGCACCAAAGCAAGUACGAGAGAGAGUUUUAGAGAGAGAAAGAGGGACAAUGGGCGCCCGUUGUAGCUCUCGCCAAUUGUUUGGGACCCCCUCGUUAGCUCCUAUGCUUUUAAUUUUAUAUCUUUCUCUUUCUCUCUCUCCUUCUCCAAAUAUAUAUAUAUAUAUAUAUAUAUAUAUAUAUAUAUAUAUAUAUAUAUAUAUAUAUAUAUAUAUAUAUAUGUCACACCCGCUCUUCAACUCCUAAACCCCUUCAAAUUAAUAUGUGUGUAUAUAUAUAUACACGCACACACCUACCUCAUUGAAGAGACCAUUAGGUUCGAACAUGUGUUUUUGAGCAUUAGCUAGCUUUUUAAAAAGAAAAAACAAAGAGAGAGAGAGAGAGAGAGAGAGAGAGAGAGAGAGAGAUCUAAUGAAAUAGGUUUUCUCUCUCUACACAUCUCCACUAUAACACUUCCUCUCUCUCUCUCUCUCUCUACCACUCCAAUAAUCCAUAUGGUGAGUACAUAUAUCAACCUUUCUCUCUUUUUUGCAAAAAUAAUUGCUGGCCAUCCAUCACGCAUCCAGCACGAAUCCUAAAGCAGCACCAUGGCAAGCUCGGCACGAGUUUUAAAGCACGCAUAUAUGCUCAUCAAAUUUGUAUCCCUUUUUUAUAAAAAAAAAAAAAAAAAAUUUAUUUGAUACAGGAGCUUGCGCUAUAACCAUAACUUAUUAUAUAUACGUGCGCGUGUUUACAUAUAUCUAAUUGGCUAAAGUUUUUUUUUGUUUUUUUGUUUUUUUAUUUUAUUUUAUUUUUUUUGGUGAUUUGGGUUGGGGCCCAAAUUAAGACACUGUUACUAUUGUUUCUUAGGGCUGUAACAAGGGUAGUGGGCUCACUGGCGAGCCGGCCGGCGGCCGCGGCGGCGACAAUUCUGUAUCACGGCGGCGCCCUCCCGCGGGACCGCGCGCUGGAGCGGUUGGUUUGCGACGAUGUGAUCGACUGCGGCGGCGACGGCGCGGAAAAAUACAUUUUCUACUUCAUCAUCAACAUCAUCAAGUGCCUCUACUGAGGGAAAAAUUCUAGAAUGCAACGGGUAUAUUAGUGACGUGGCGUAACAAACCAAUCAAAUUAAUCCUUUUAAGAAUAUAUGUCCUAUCAUGAUUGUAAAAAAGUAUUUUUAUUGUAUUUUUGUUUGAAAAGAAGGAAUGUGAUUGGCUUGUUAUUGAUGACGUGAUGCAACUGUGACAGUGUAGAAUUCCUCCUACUAAGGGGAUAAAACUUCAGUGGUUGCCCCUGAUCUGCAACCGUGUAUUAGUUUUAAGGGUUAAUUCCAUACAGAUUCCUACAAACAUAGUGAAUUAUAAAUAUAUCUUUAUAAAGUUCAACUUUCAUAUAUUGUUUAUGUAAAAGUUCUAAUAUUUUCAAACAUAUUUUUCUGGUUUGUUACUGUUUAUUUUAUAAGUGAAAUGACUUUUUUGACAUCAUAAAUGUCAACUUUCAAACAUAUCUUUAUAAAGUUCAACUUUCAUAUAUUGUUUAUGUAAAAGUUCUAAUAUUUUCAAACAUAUUUUUCUGGUUUGUUACUGUUUAUUUUAUAAGUGAAAUGACUUUUUUGACAUCAUAAAUGUCCCUUCAAAAGUCCUAACAAUUAAUUAAAGAAUGGUGAAAAUGUCAAUUAACCUUAUUAACUAAUUAGGGUAAAACAUUUUACCUAUGGUUACCUAAUUUUUUCUAGUAGAUCCUAACGGUAUGAACAUAUUUGAAAAUAUCAUAAUUUUUGUACGAACAACAUAUAAAAGUUGAACUUUAUAGGGUUAUAUUUAUAAUUCACUAUAUUUGUAGAGAUCUGUAUAAAAUUAAUAUUAGUUUUAAAAGUGACACGUGAGGCCGAAUUGGAACUAGUUAACGGUGCGUUGUUUGAGAGCUCCCUAGCUACAUUAUAAGAUUGAUUAAUUACCAUUUAAUAUUGGAAUUAAUGGAUAAUGAUAUGAUAUGUUUUGGAGAUAUGAUUAAUGAUUAGGCAUAGUUUAAUUUUUCUUUUUCUUUUUUCUUUUUUUUUGAGUGGGUUUUUAUUUGGUGGGUAGCAUGUUGUAAGCUUUACAGAGGUGACAAUUUUUAAUCUGGUCUCAAUUGUUACCAUAAUUACCAUUCUACCCCUUAAUUACUAUUUCUCUUGGGGAUUUAUACUAAUUAGUAAUUAUGAUCAAAAUGUUUCUAUCUCAACAUUUUCAUAAAAAAAAAAAAGGCUAAUUCUAUAUAUCCCUGUAAAGUUUUGAAGCUGCGAAUAUACCGCUCUAACAUUUUAAUUAGGUAAAGGCAUAUAAAACUUAUCUGAACUAUGAACUAUUUUAUUUUAACUUUUUAAUAUUUUAAAAUAUUUGAUUUUGCUACCUUUAGAUCGUUUAUUCUUGUAAAUUUAGUUAGAAUAUUUAAUACAAUUCUUACAACUAGGAAUUUAUUACGAAAUUUGGUUUUUAAAUACUUUCAAUAGUAUAGAUCAAAUCUAACGGAGUCGAUCGUCAGUUUGUAAGCCGCAUAAUUGAAAACAACUUGAUAGCACGGAGACCUCUGUGCUACCGAUAGUAUACCAACCUAGCUCUCUCUCUCUCUCUAUAUAUAUAUAUAUAAUAAAUUCAAGUUCAGAAUUAGGAUAGGGUUCAGGUUCGGAUCGGGUACAAUCAAAAUCCAUACCCAAAUCUAAAUCCGUCGGAUUUUUUUUUUUUAUAUCCAUAUCUGAAACUAUAUCCAUUUAACAUCGAAUAAAUCCACUCCGUUCGAAUUCGGAUUCAAAUAAAAUUUCAGUUUUCCGUAUCCAUUGACAUCCCUAUUGUAGGCUCCUCACCCCCAACACUGCACUUCAGAACUCAUACUAUAUAUAUAACCCAACAGGCUCUUUAAGAAGUUCAUAAAAGUACUUGUAAGCAUAGCAUGACUCAUAUAUUUACGCGAGUACUAGGAAUAUGACAUUUUUAAACUUCUGAGUGAUACAAAUGAAAUUAACUCGGAGAAGGACAUGAAGUAAAAGAAAACAUAAGACUAAUGCUGUAAAAAUUACAUGACACAUAUUAUGCUGUUUGAAUGAUAUGUACACAUGCCUGAUCACAACAAACAAACAAUAGACAAAUAAGGGGACAACAAAAAAAAAAAGAAAAAAAGAGUAGAACUGGAACAAUGGUUUCAUCACAUUACAUCAACAAAUCAUGUAUCUGAUAAUCUCAACUAGGAUGAAGCAACAAACUGAGAGAAAUUAACCUGCAGAAAAUGGUAUCAAUCUUUGUGUUUAUACUACGAAUCUGGGAGCGAGAUGGACGACUUCAAUGGUGAAAAAUGCUGGACACCUUCUGUGAAACUUUGUUAUAACUUCCUCGACGAAAUGAACUGAACUGAACUGAACCGAGCGGUCAAUUCGUCACACGUACUCUUUCGAAUUUGGCUGAAGCUGCCCGCUGGGGGAACUAAAGGAGUCGAGCCGCCUCGGGGUGCACCGAUCACGACCGUUGAUGCCUGCUGCUGGAAAAGAAGCGAUUCUUUCGGGCAGAUAGGUCGAAUCGGUUGGCUCGAUUCUUGUUCUCAUUUUGACAGGCUCACCAGCCAGACCUUUCCUGCUGUAGUGCAGUAGCAGCUUAUCCACCACCCUUUCCUCGUCAUCGCGGUUGUCGUCAAAAGCGGAAGCCCCUCUCCCGCCAUGUCUUCUUCGGCCUCCUGGGGUUUGACUUGAGAGCUUGCCAUAAUCGACGGCGUAAUCCGUCUCAUCGAACACUGGUUGCGGAUACCUGUCCACAACUUCCUCAUCAUAUUGGCUGUCGUAGCUCGCUUUGUGCCUCCUACUUGUGUGUCUUCUUUGGCCACGCGGAGUUCGGGUCGAGAACUUGUCAUAAUCGUGAGUAGCACCAAAUAUUUCGCUAACCACUUUCUUGGGCUGCAUGUCUGCCGCAUUCGCAUCAUGGCCGUUAUCGUAAGUAACGCAAUGCCGCCUACUCGUAUGGCUUCUUUGGCCACGCGGGGUUUGAUUAGUGAACUUGCCGUAAACAGUAGCAUCAACCAUUUCGCUAACCACUUUCCUGGGGUUCCUUUCCACAACACCCGCAUCAUAGCCAUCAUCAUAAGUAACGCUAUGUCGCCUACUUGUAUGGCUUCUCUGAACACUCAGGACUCGAUGAGAGAUCUCACCAUAAUCGAAAGCAUUAUCCAUUUUGUCAGGUUGUACUUGCUCGCCGCAAUAAUCACUGUAGGUAGCGCUGCUCCGCCUGCUUGCAUGCCUUCUUCUGUUACGCGGUGUUUGGCUAGCAAUCUUUUCAUCGUAAGUAGCAGCCCCUUCGGUUGUAUAAAAUUCUGUUCUCUCCAAAGGGCUGUUAUCUUCGGCGCCUGUAGACCCAUCACAACCAGAAAAUUUUUGAACGGUUUGAUUAAUAAUAUCCAUUGGUUGGGUGGUGAAUUUUGAUUUCACGUAAGGAGGAAUCUUAUCAGCUGCUUUCGCAUAAUUCACCGGUCGAAUCGGCGACAUAUUCGGUGAUCCAUCAUAUAAAGGUUUGUCGUUCUCUUCUUCGACAUACUUUUCACUCAUCGUUCUCCGCUGGUUAGUGUACGGAGGAACCAUGUUGAUAGUUCUUUGAUUUAACGAACUCGCUGAAUCAACUUUGCUGACACGAUCCAUCUCUUGGGUUUUCGCUCUCCUGUUCCAACAAGGGUCAUCCUGGGCCCCUCGCAAUUCAUCUUUUGCAACGCUCUUGUCGCUCUCCUUUUCAACAUCGCCUUCUUUCUUAGUUCCGUUCGGUUUAGUAUACGGAGGAACCAUUUUGCUAAUUUUGUAUCCAGCGUAUUUGACCGAACCACUUUCUUCCUCUGCGCCACGAGGAGCAAAGCCUUCUCCAUCCUGCGGCGGCCUAAUGAUUUUUUCUUUAAGACUGUCUGCUCUCCGGGUUUCUUUGAGAUAAUUCCUCGGAGUGAUGAUUGAAGGAACUGUGUAGUUAGUGCGAUAAUCCUCUCUCGGGUUCUCUUUGUGAUUAUUCUGUAGGUUGAUGUGUGAAGGCGGCGUGUAACUAGUAUAGUCCGGUUUGAUGUUCUCCGGUUCCGCAACAAUAGGCCUCCGGCUUUUCUCUUGUAAAUGGCUAAUUUUGACAUCUGAAAUUACGUGAAUAUCCUUCAGUUCGAUCCGCACUUCUUGUUUCUGCACGAAAUCUGCAGGAGUAGGCCUACGUAUCCCUUCUGAUGAAGUAUCCUCCUUAUGCCGACUGGGCGCCAUUGGCGAAGCUUCGUUUCGACAACUAAAAGUAGCACACCUUUUGGGCAGAUCCUGUAAAAAUUAAUUUUUUUUUUAAAAAAGUUAAAUGUAGUAGGUGUCGGAAAAUGUUCCGGAAAGAGGAAUACUAAUCGGUGAAUAAAUGAAAUUUCUGGACAUGUAAGAACGGAGAUUGGUUAAUUAAUACACUUACGUAUUUAGAUUCAGGCUGAUUAGACGAUUUCCGUUCGAAUGCCUUUGAAUCAACUUUAGUCGAGGACUCUUGAGCAAUAUUUUGCAUAACUUCCGACUUCUUUUCGGCAGAAAACGACUUUUUCUGCACCUUCUCAAUGAACUAAAAUGAAGCAAGAUCAAACUAGUCAAAAAUUGACUACAAGAAAAAGCAAACUCAGUUGCGCACUUGCAUGAGGAAUGGGAAAUGAUUAGCACCUCUUGCUUAACAAAUGAUUCCAUGUGACUCCCAUAUCUCUCGUUAAAAACAUGUCUGAGAUCACACAAUUCCGGCAGAUCGGGAAAUCUAGCGGCAGCAAAGAUUAGAGUUGCUACAGCUUCCAGCGCUUCUGGAGGGCAAUCCCUGAAGAAAUGCAAGAUUGAAAAAUAAGAGCGACGGACAACCGGAGAAAUGGAAAAAUAGAGUGGAAGAUGAUUUGGAGUUCUGCAUAGUAGCAAACACGAGCAAAUUGUUAAGAACAGCGAGAUCCAGUAAAAUAGAAGGGAAUAUAGAGACACAAAUAUGACUAAUGUCGGCGCAAUAGGACUGAGCCAUUGCUCUUUGACACUCCACCUAUCCUGAACAUCCAAACUCUUCUAAAAUUAAGUUGUGCAUAUUCCUGUUAUUUCAAAUUCCAUAAUUAGCUAUUUUAGCUGUUAAGAUUUAAUAUUGGGCCUUUUCCUACUAAGUCAACAUUUCAGGUGACAUGGUAUUAGAGCUCGUCCGAAGCCCACUCCGUUCUAAGAGGUUCUGAGUUUGAUCCCCACAUCCGUCAUUUUAUGCCGUAUAUUUCUGUCUACUAUUCCAUUGUCUCUUUUGUUACCUCUUCAGUCAGUCCACGUGGUAUGGUUCAUCUGAUAUUUACUAUGCACAUGAGUAGAAGUAUAAAGACUAAUAGUGGGCCAUUUCCUACUAGAUCGACCAAUCUUUUGGGUAACUGUGGCUUCACAAUCUGAUAUUUAGUAUUCAAAUUAUGAACCAGGGAAAAAGAAAUCUUAGAAACAGCAGUUGCAUCAUGGUAAGUUGCUGACUGAUCGCAGGGCCUUGCUCAUCAGUAUUCUACGCUAAUUUAGACAAAAAAUUAUUCCAAGGUGAAGAGGGCCUCUGCUGAUACACGCGAAAAGGGUGAAAAAUUAGAAAAUGUGGUUCCACGAUAUUGCACGAGUAUUGAAAUCGAAAAACAGAAGAAUGCUAUAACAUUGAACAUUGCUGUAAUGCACUUAUUGCCGCAAACCUCGUAUGAUAAGAAGUAUAAACUACAAACCAUUCAAAGAAAAAUGUAGCAACAGUUUGAAAUACCUCUGCUUCCGCAGGCACUGAAGCUGCUUCAAUAUAUCCUCACAGAAUUGCUCAAUCAUGUCAUAGCAGGAUGCUUGAUUUAUCUCCACAAUAAGUGCAUCGAUCUGUUCAAAUAAUAACGAGAACUUCGUUGAGUAGACAUUAUUAAACAACCAUUCUCUGUCAGCUUAAGUUUAAGAGAGAAAAUUAUUGUUUCACAUAACAUCAGUUUGGUGAAGACUAUUAGAAUACCACUCUCUACCAGCUUAAGCUUUUAGAGAAUUUUUUUUUAAAAAAAAAGUUAUUUUACGUGGUAUCAGAAAAGGAGACCCAGAGCUCAAACAUAUUUAGGCAACUAGUCUCAUUUAAUCUCCUGUCAAAAUCCACUAACACCUUUCUAUAGCAGCGAAAGCUUUCAGAGGAUAACAAUUGUUUCAAAAACUACCAAACAACAAAAAGGCGAAGUUUUCAACGAUAAUUUACACGCACAAGAAAAGUUAAGCAAAAGAACCAUUUUGCGAUGACUUUCUGUUAUACUAAAAGCAACAAAGCCAAUGAAGCAGUUUAGACUCAUAUUAGCAUAAAACAAAUUAGUUCACAGAGAUUCUUCUUAAGAUAUGAUUUGGCAUGAAAAUCUACCUACCAUGACACCAUGGCAGGUAGGGAAACCUACCAUAUUAUCGGAAUCACUCAAUUAGAAUUGAACUUACGCUCACAUUAGUCAACUAGUAGAUGCUGAUUUUCCAAAACCUAAAGCUAUAUCCAAGAGUCCGCAAAAUGACAAAAAAUUAGCUACAAGUUCUUGUUCCUUUCAGGUAAAAUCGUACGGAACUUACUUGAUCUAUGAGCCAUUCAGAGUUAGGUACCCAACCUUUCCAAAUUUUGAUUUUAAUACCCAACCUUUCAAUUUAUUUGAUUCGAGUUAGUCGACAACACUUUGACUUCACAAUUUAACCUAAUUACUUUUUUAAUGAAUUUAUGGAAAUUUCAAGAAAGAGAAUAAUAAAGAAAAGAAAUCGACAGAGCCUCUGCAUACACACAAAAAUAAUAAAAUAAAAAUUCUAUGAAGAGUAAAAAAAAAAAAGGGAAAGAAAAUGCAUGAAUUCACAAUAUUAAUAACAUGGGAUAAAAUAAAAAUUAAAAAAAACAGCUGGAUUUCAAUUAGAGAGUAUAGGAAAAACAAAACUAAAGUGUGCAUUUACAUUAAAACACCUAAAUUCUUCCCAAAUUACACAAAUUUCAUCGCAAAUUUUAUUAUACCCACAUCAAAUUUACAGCAAAUAAAACAAUCAAUAAACCCCCAAAAAAUCAAUUAAUGAUACCCAAACUUCAAUCAGAGAACAGAAGCAAAACAAUGUCAAAGUGUGCAUUUAAAUUAAAACACCUAAAUUCUUCCUAAAUUACACAAACUUCAUUGCAAAUUUUAUCAUACCCACAUCAAAUUCACAACAAAUAAAACAAUCAUUAUAAAAUCAAUAGUUACCCAAAAAUCCAAUUAAUACCACCCAAAUUUCAAUCAGAGAACAUAAGAAGAACAAUACCAAAAGUGUGCAUUUAAAUUAAAACACCUAAAUUCUUCCUAAAUUACACAUACUUCAUUGCUAAUUUUUCCAUACCAACAUCAAAUUCACAACAAAUAAAACAAUAAUUACAUCAAUAAUACCCUAAAAAAAAAGAAAAACCAAAUUACCCUUCCGAAUGCGACGUCGCGGUGGCCAUCGGCGACGAGAUCGGCGACAUCCUUCUUCAGGAACCUCACCAUUGCCUGCUUCUUCUUCUUGAUCGGAUCCAACCGAGCUUUUAUGCAUUUUAUCGCAUGCUUACUGAAACCAAAUCACACACACACAAAUAAAAUAUUCAAAUCAAAUGAACUUCAUCACAAAUUUCGCUUUUUUUCUUCUUUUUGCGUAAAAUUGUAUGGAGAAAAACUCUGAAACACAAGCCCUUUUUUCUUUUUCUCUUUUUGAUUUUGAUAUUAGUGAUGAGAAUUUUUACAAAAACGAACAAUGGUUCUGGUAAACGAUAAAAAGAAAAAGGAAAAAUUUGAGGGGCAGCUUCAAAACGGGGCAUAGUUGAGGGGGUUUCCAUACAUUUUCAUAGAUUUUUUUUCUAUUUUUCUCACAAGAAAAUCUCAAUUCAAGAAGCAGAAGAUGAUGAUGAUGAUGAUGAUGAUGAAGAAGAAGAAGGAAAAACAUUACCAUUUGUUGGAAAACUUGGAGCCCAACAAGCUAUCAAACAUUUCCCCCCCCCUCUCUCUCUCUAAAACUCUCUCUCUCUCUCUCUCUAAAACUCUCUAUCUUUCUCUCUCUAAAGCUCUCUCUCUCUCUAAAACUCUCUCUCUCUCUCUUCUUCUUGAUCUUCUACUUUGCUUUAUUUGGUGGAGUGGGAGAAGAGAAAGGGUGGGGGAGUUGUGACUACCAUUAAAGCACUCAAAAAAAGUGGAGAGAGAAAAAAAGUGGAGAGAGAGAGAGAGAGAGAGAGAGAGAGAGUGAGAUAGUUUGUAUGGGGAGGUGUGAGCUUUAGCUUUUAGGAGGAGAGAGAGAGAGAGAAAAUUAAAGAAGAAAAAGGAGGGAGGAAUUAAUUACUUACAAUGAAAUAAAAAAAAAUAAAAUUGCAUUCUCUUUUAUAUAUAUAUAUAUAUAUAUAUAUAUAUAUAUAUAUAUACACUAAAGAAAAAGGAUUAAGUAAGCGGGAGGUUAAUAUAGUAAUAAUACAUACUUAAUUAUGUGUAGGGUUGGGGUUGGGUUUACCCACAAGUGCACUCAAUUGGUUACUAGUGUGUGUCCAUGUCAAGUUUUAGAAUUUAUUUAAAAAAACAAAAAAAAAAAUUAAAGGGCUUAUUCUUCCUAGCGAGAAUGUCAGAAUCCUUUCUAUUCAGAAUUCAAGAUCAAAAUCCACCUCCAGUAGGGGUAUAAAUAGAUCCGGAUUGAUAGAGCUUUUGUUUUGAUUCAAUCUGACUUGACAGUAAGUGGGGGGCUAAAAAUUUAAAAAUAUACAUAAUUCGUCUCAAAUUCAUCCAGCCCUGCUGAGGAAAUGGAGUGAAUGACGAAAAAUUCUUUCUUAUUUUGAUUCGUUCCAAUAUGCCAAAAAUCUAUUAAAAAUCCGCUCUUGUUCGCCCGAUCUCGAAUAAAGUAGUAAGUGGAGACAAAAAAUAAAAAAUGAAAAUCAACCUGUCUCGAAUUCAGUUCAAUCUGACUUGUCAAAGAAUUCACGCAGUUUGCAACCCUAAUCUCAAGCCUUACUAUUGUGACACGAGUGGCCUCGAUUUGAACUUGAAUUUUCAAAUAGUUUUUAAUUAUUAGCUACCGGAGUAGCCGAUCGACAUCAGAAAAAAAAAAAUUUAGUAGCUUUUUUCGAUUCAUGUCCGAAAUUCUUUUUUUUUAAUUGCGGUUAAAUGAAAGAAAAAAAUAAUAAUUUUCAUGCGCUAAGAAAUAGUAGUUGACUUAUUUUAUAAUUUAGAAAUUUUAGCUUCCUAGAUAAAAAUUUGAAUAAUUAGCUCUAAAAGUUCAAAAUUUGCUAAAAAAAAUUUGAAUUAAAAAUAUAUUUUUUUCUUUUUAGCUCAAAAAAUUUAAAAGUUACUAACAAUUUAAAAUUUCUAGCUGUUGGAGGGAAUGAAAUAAUUUUGUGCCACGUGUACGGUGAGUGGUUGUUUUGAUGACACCAACUCCGACAUUUCGAAAACCUUAAAAUUAAUUAAUUAAUUAAUUAAUUUCCCAAAUUCCACCAAUAGGAACGUUGUGAAGGGUAUUAUGGGAAUUUGACAUAGGGGCUUCCCACAAUAGAAAACGUUGUGUGAGGGUAUUUUGGGAAUUUUACAUGGAUAGGGGCCCACCACUCUCGUAGAACCCGGCGCCGUGCCCGAGGCGUUUACCGUUUGCUUAUAGAAAGUGGAAGUGAAAUUUUACGUAGAACCCCCUAACCUAUAGAAAAAUUUGAAAUUGGACCCUAGUCUUUACUUUAUUUGCUUUACUAAUAUUUUUAUCCUCAAACCUUAUUUCUUUAAAACUUUUUAAUUUAUCUACAAUUAAAUUUCGCUAUAUAAUUUAAUAUAUUAAAUCGUGACAUGUAUAUGAUAAUAAUAUAGUGAUGGUUGUGAUUAAUGUCGUAAUAAUGACUAAAAGAUCAUGUAUCAAAUAAAUUAAAUUAGAUAAUAAAAUUUAAUUAUAAUAAUUUAAAAAAUUAAGUAAAAAUAUAAUAAAUUUAAUUUUAAGAAUUAAAAUUAAAGUUUGAUGCCUAACAGUAAUUUUUUCUUAAAUUUAUGUGCGUCCUUUAGUUAUUUAUUACUAAUCGCUCUAGUUUUUUAUUGACAAUGAAUUAAAAUUAUUGAUCAGUUUGAUAAAUCACCCAAUUAUAAACGAACAAAGAUUAAAAAAAGGUAUUAAUAAAAAAUUAAAAUACAAAAAAAAAUUCUAUAAAUAUUCAUUUUUACUUUCCAUUUUUGACUUUUGAAAAUUUAUAUUUUACUUUUUCAAAAUUUUAAGCUGAUAUAUUUAGCCCUCCUCCGUAAAAGCUCCUCCGUAAAAGCUUAGUUUAUUUUUUACAAUUUAUACUACAAAUAACUUUAAAAAUAACAAAAAUAUAUUGUAAAAUUUUUUUUUAUAGAAUGAGUAAAGACAAUUUGUUCAUUUCGCCCUCUUAUUAACAUCGUAAUCUUAUAUAAAUAAUUUUUAAAUUCUAAAAAAAUAAACUGUAAAUUUUUAAAGAUUUAUGACAUUAAUCAUAACCAUUUUUAUUUUUAUUUAAAAUUAUAGAUUUAUGACAUCUAAAUAAACCAUUUUUUCUAUGGGUUUAUUGUAUUAUAGCCUAAUAUAAAAAAAUAAAAGUAGAGGGCUCGAUUUCUAAUUGUUCUAUAGUGGAGGGGGUGGUCUCCAUAAAUUUUUGUAUUAUAGCCCCUUUUGUUUGUUUUUUUUUUAGCAUUUUUUUUUGAACGUGGGACGUGGAGGGAGGUGUGGGGCCCAGAGUCGUUUCAAUGUAACGGGCAUCUCCUUUUCUGAUGCACACCUGGACUUUGAGAUUCGCGCGCGCUGCCAUUCUCUUUCGGAGCGGGAAUAUUUGCAUCUUAGCUGGAUACCAAUCAUCACUGAUGAAAUGAACUGUGCACGCUUCAUCCUUUGCUUAAGGCCUAAGGGAGUGGAAAAUAAAAAUAUUAUUUGUGAAGGCUUAAUUAUUCCAUACUGUAUAAUCUAUAAUAGGACUCGCAAUUCAACUCGCUGUUCACGAACUAACUCGUGUUCAGCUCAAAAUGAGCUCGAGAUCAGUCGCUCGUUUAAUAAACGAGAGCAGUACGCGAGCUGAAUUGUUCGGCUCAAAGUUUUAAUGAGCCGAAUAGGAGCUGGAAUUAGCUCGCUCGUGUUCGACUUGAUAUAACUAACUCCAAUAUGGAUAUGACAAUUUUCUACUAUUUCAAUUUUAGGCCAACUCAAACACAAAGAAACAUAUAUUUUAUAAAUUUUAAUUAUUAGAUUAAAAUUUUAAUUUUUUUAAUUUUUUAACUUUUCAUUCUAUAGUAGGGCUGACAAUCUUAAAAAUACUGUUUGUGCGCUAGCUCGUGUUCAGCUGAUAUAAAUAGGCAGAACACAAACUAAAUUUUUCAAUAUAAUAUUUUAACGAGCCAAUUCGUAUUUAACUAUUUUAAUAAAUAAGCAAAUACGAACCGACCUCGUCUCACUCGUGUUUGGCUCUUUAACAGCCCUACACUGCACUAUACUUUUUAGAUUUUUUUUUUAUUUUCUAUCAUGUCUAAUUUUUUUCCAAACACAUCCCUCAAAUAUCUUUUUUUUAACCAAAUUCUACAUUAUAAGUAACAAAUCUAUAAUUUUAAAUAAAAAUGGUAAAAAAUACAACGUAAAAGUGAUAAAGCAUAUAAUCAACUCAUCUCUACUAAGAAAACCCAAAAUAUUUAAAAUCAAUAAGAACAUAGUUGAAUAUGAUUCUUUCAUAAAAAUUCAUUUUAUAUUUUUUCUAUUAUUUAACUAGUUCUUCUUAAUAAAGUUGCUAAAUUUUAUCUAAAAUGAUAGAUUUAUUACGAUGAUGAAGAGAUUGAUAAGAAAAAUAUAAUUUACCGAAAUUUAUGAGAAAAAAAAGUACAAAAUAGGAAAAAAAUAAAAUAAAAUACAAGUAUCAGGGGGCUAGUACUUCUAGAAGUAUUCUAGCUCAAUUAUACAACACUAAGUUAAGCUAUACUUUUAGUAUACGGAAUGAAUCCAAAAAAAAGAAGAAGAAGAAAACUUCAUAAAUCAAACCAAUUAAACGAAUCAAACUGGUAAACGUGUUUAAACCGACAAACCAAGGUUUGGUUUUGAUUUCGACUUUCUCAAAACGAUUUAAAUCAAUUCGGUUUCAAUUUAUGUAAACCCAAUCGAAAUCAAAUGAUGGUUCACAUACCUAAAUGCAAAAGAAUCAUGCCUAACAAUUAAAGGCCUUCAAUAGAAUAGAGAGAUAUUUCUGAGUUUCGAAUAAAUCAAGAAAACAUAACUAAAUACUACAAUUAAUGGCCAUAUUUCGAUAAUAUUUUUGGAAAAUAUCUACAUUACCACAGCAAACUACGAAAACAGAUCAUUCCCCAGAUGCGGAAACUAAAAUACCAGUUCUGCAGUGAGCUACCCAGCAAAUACAAAACUAAUGUACAAAAAUUUGGUAAAAGAAAAUCUGGAGAGAAGAAGAACAACAUACCAAAGCAAUUUUUACUCAAGCUCGGCACAUGCAAGGGGUUAGCGGGUUCUCCCAGAGGUCGUAGUUCGGGAAAGUCUCCUCGGGGAGGCCGGUCCGGGUCUGAUGGGUGAUGACCACGUCCUCGACAAAGGCAGCCCAACCCAUGUAAGGGUCGCCGAAGGAUUUGGACAUGAGCCCCUUGUCCGGCUUUAUGGACUUGAGCCGAUGCCCCAUGUAGCGUCGGGCGCCGAUGAUCAGCUUCGCAAAGUUGCCCCCAUGGGUCAUCACGAACACGUCUGACUUCAAGCAGACUAGGAAGUCCAAGGCAGCUAAGCUCGUCACGUGCUUCCUGAAAUGGUCCAUUUCCUCUUUGCUUGCUAGUUCCUCCUUUGUUAGCUGCAACCGGCAGCAGAAGAAAGAGGAGAAAUUAUCAUCAAAUCACGCGAACAAAAAGAUAAUAACUGCAGCUAACGAGGAAUCAGAAAGCUUCUUUAGCUAGAAGACUUAGAAUAGGAUAGCUUCUGACGAUAUAAAGGGGAAAAUGAUGCUGAGACCGCAGAAAUAGUUACUUAUAUGUUUUGAAAUCUGGUAAAGAGAGAACUUACUAAAUUUGGGAACAUAUUUCUGAGAGGAGCCAUCCUGUUCUUUCCACCAUACACCUGUCCAGAAGCAACAUAAAUCUGAGUUUCCUUGGGAUAUCCCAUUGCCCGCAAGAUAACAGCUACCUCCCCUGGCUCAAGAGGGCAGCGCCCUUCCUUCCGCUUCUGCAGUGCUAACUGCCAAAGAUGAGACCCAUUCUGCACGCAAAUGCAGCAAACUAAAAGAAUAUUAACUUCAGGCCGUUUCUCUUUAUGAUUGCUAUAUGAUUUGGAUUGUUCUCACCUUGUACCGCCUAGGCCAUUCCUUUUGUCUGUAAGCAGCCAUCAUCGCUUUCUCUUCUCUUGUUCCGACAAAAUCACAAAAAGAAAGGCCCACCAUUCCUUUCUCAAAUCUCAGAUGUAGUGCCCUGUUAGAAAGGAAAAGAGCAUAAAACCAGUGUAUAAGACACGUGAAGGUUCUAGAACACACUUACAUGCCAUAUAAUGUGUACUGAUGGCAACUGACUAGAGGCUUACAUAUAUGGGUUCAAACUGCCAGUGCGGUUCCGCAUUCUUGCUGCUAGUUUAUCUGCCAUUUCUUCGAUCUCAGGUAGAAACUUUAAAGCAUGGUAGUUAACCCUGCAUCUAAGCCUGUUUAUCUCGGUUGGAACAUUAUCAUAUCUGGAAAAAAGAAAGAAUGGUCAAAUAUUUUAAUCAGAUAACCAGAUGACUAACUGUAACAUACAACCACAUACAUGAAAGUUAGAAAAGCCUACAAAGUUGAAUGUAUUGAAUAAGAACAUGUACGACAGAAGAAAAUAUAUUUCAUUUCCCUAUUGGACACCUGCAAGAAUACUGAAGUCGCACCAAUCAAAAGCAUAUUAUUGACAUGACAACUUUUGAAGAACAAGAAAAAAAAAGAGAGAGAUAGAGAUUGUGAUUUUAUUAACAUUCUGUACUUACCCUAACCGAUCAACAAAUGGCUUUAGAGCCAUUAUCUUCUUCUCUUUUAUCCUUGGCAGUACGUUGUCAAUAUAGAACUGUGCAGGUGCAUAUUUUGGUAUGUUCUUCACGGUGCGUCUGAUGCAGAGCACUAAAAGGUCAGUAAAGAAAAUUUCAAACAUUUUUCUACCAAUAUAUGACAUUAUCUUUAGCAAAUGCAACCUACAAGAUGGAAAAGAGUAGAAAACAAUUUAAUAAGGGCCAAAUAAGUCAACUCAAAAUGAUAAAUAGAUAUUUAGUUAUCAAUAUCUAGUUCAGAUAAGUAGGAUUGAUCGAGAAAGUGGAUGCUACGAUCACUAAUUAUACAAUGGCCGCAUCUCUGCCCAAGUUAAUAAUACGUCACGAGAUACAUACAAUAGCUGGUAUCAAUCUCAGGCAUAUGUUGCUCAGGCAAUGUGCAGAUCACCUUAAUCGAACAAGUGGAUGAACAAAAAGAAGUCCAGAUUAUCAACAAGAAGAUUCUGAAUUAAUAAUAGCUUGUAUGGAAUUUUGAAUUACAUGGCACAUAAAUAUAGAUUUUACAGGUAAAUAACCAAUGCAAUAGCAAUAUAACAUCAGGAUCACCGUUAAAGCAUCAUUAGAAGGGAGUACAAGGUAUCACGUCUUAUUGAAACACUACAAAUCUUCAAAAACCUCCCGUGGUAUAGCCCAAUUGCACUUUAUACUGGUCCUUCGUACGUAUUUGCACUUUGAUAUCCUUUUCAUCGGCAUGUCAUUAUGACAACUGAAUCAGUAAGAACACGGGCUAACUGCCAUACUUUGAACCUUGUAGUAGCAAAGUGAAAAUGGACUAUAACACGAGGUUUAGGAUGCUAAGGAAAAAUUAUGGACUCAAGUCAAAAAGCAUUAUCCGGUAAGGUAUUUGUAUGAAAUUUUGCCAAAUGAAGAAAUGGUUAGCGCACAAACAACUAUAUAUAGAUGAUGAACUAGUGCAAACCUUAUACUGGUAAAAAGCUCAGUUUUUUCGGUAAACCAGUCAGGAAUAUCUCGAACAAUGUGGACAUCAUCCUUCAGAUAGUCAAUAAAGUGAUCUACAUCAAAUAUAUCUUCAAACUUUCUGCACAUAUUAAACCAUGCAAGCAGGAGAUUACCAAUUAUAUGAAGAAAGAAAAGAAAAGAAACUACAAGAAAUGACACCAGAACAAGGGAAUCUCGAAGACAAGAAGACUGUUAUAAAACUAGAUUCCUACAAUUUAGUCAUUUAGUCAUUCUAUUAAAAAAGAGUACAUAACUUUUUAACUCCUAUUCGGGUACCAUUAGGGCUAAUUGAGAUUCUUUAGAAAAUUAAGGAUGCUAAUUGAAAUUUAUAAAGAUUAAACACAUCUAGAUUUAAUUUAACGUGCUGAAAGAGCCGCAUUGUGACAACAGAUGAUUUUGGAAAGAGUUUGAAUGAUUAAGGACUUCCUUCUCGGACUCAAGUCAGUCUUAUAAUAAAUAUUGCAAAGAAGGUAUCCAGAAAUAGAGUCAUACAAUGGAAAAAUGUAAGUAUUUUACUUCAGGCCUUGGAACUUCUAGCCUUUCUCCUAAUUCUGUAGUUAGUCUCCCUUCUUAAUUCAUUAAUUUCUUCUUGUUCUCUUCCUUUACUUUGCAGCAUCUGGUCAACUAGAAUCUACAUUAAUUAAUACGAGAGCUAAAGAUUCUCCUACAUAAGCAUGGUAUCUAAUAAAAUACAAAAAAUUGCGCAAAAGUUAAUCCAAGAUUCUAAGGAUCAACACUCCAGAUUUGAGAUGAGUCACCACAAGUUUUGCUAACAGUGUCUUACAAUACGUGAGUGAUAAAUUAAUCUUAAAGUAAAGACAUAGCUGCACAUUUGUCCCUACCAAACAGAUUUUCCCCGAAGGGGAUCAUGAGGUCAACAGGUUCAUCAAACUACAAAGGCAUGAAGAACAAAAAGGUAACAGAAUAUAUAACAUAAAACAUACGUUUGAUCUUUCCAUAUUUGAUCUUGCUUUAGAACAGGCAAAAUGAGUGUUGCAUUCAUAAUUUUGGCUACAGCAACAGCAUUACAAAUCUGCAUGCAAGCCAAAUUUUGCAAAUUGAUUAGGCAAACGUACAGGAAAAAAGAAGAACACUGAUAUAGAAUUACGUGUUUAACUUUUCCAAUGAUAUAUAUAUAUAUAUAUAUAUAUAUAUAUAUAUAUAUAUAUAUAUAUAUAAGCAAGAAAUGAUCGACAUGUACCACUAAGGCAAAAGGAAAAAAAAGAUAAUAAUUGUCAGUUGAUUAUCGGAGAAAAACUGUAUUAUUAAAUUGCAACAAAUUCUCUCUAUUAAGCAGAUAAAGGUAUCACUCAGCACUUUUCUUACACAUGGAACAAAUUCUCUCUAUUGAGAAUGAUAUCUGCACUUUUCUUACACAUGGAACAGACAUACGACCUAAUUAAGAAGCAACAAUUCUAGCAAUACAAAUCUAAUUAUAGAUCUCCACAUUCUAGCUAUCAAUCAAGAUCUAUAAUGUUAGUUUAAUAGCUAUUUAUAAAACAGAUAAGAAUAAAUCAAUCUAAUAGCUUUACUUAUCAUUUGAAUUUUCAUCACAAUCUAAAAUGUAGAGCAUCAAAAGGCAUUGAUUCUUUCCCCCUUAAACGAUUGGUGUAAAAACCACAACAGAUUUAUUAUUUGUAUUUGACGUGCAGCAGCUUUCACAUUAGAUGGAUCAACUUCAAUAGCAAAUAUAUUUUUUUUUGGAAUCGCAGCCUAAAGGAAGUUCUUUCGAUUUUCUUUAACAGGACAAACCCUCCCUUUAGACAUGAAAAAAUAGUAAUCCAUGUUACAAGAAUUUCCUGCAAUAACGUUGUCUCAAAUAGCAGGAAUAUGCAUCCAGAUGAAAUACUCCAAGCAAAGUAGUCAGUUAGUAAGCUAAACUUGGAAGUCCUAACAUUUAUUUCCAAUUGAUAAGACUAGUGCUUAAUAUGUAAUAUAUAAUGUUUUCCCUCCACCACAUGUGACAAUACUAUUUUCUGGAGAAAAUUAUAUUGUAGUGAGCUUGAAUUCAUUAGUAACAGGGCUAAAGCAUGCCCAAGAGAAACGGAACACAGCAGAUAUCUUUAUUCUUCAAGCUGUUCAGUGCUUGGUAUAGUAAAUUUUCUGAUUUUCUUCAACUAAGUUAAAAGAGAAACAAAGAAGAAACAUAUAUCAUGACUUCCGUUAAAGAAAUUUUAGGGGCCAGAUCAUUGAUGCUUAAAAAAGAAAACCUACACAACAACUGGAAGAAUGCAACAAGUGGCACACUUCAAAGUCAGACAGAAUGCAUACUUACAGCUAUGCGCUGCUGAUUUAAACCACCUUCGGCAUGAAUGAAUAUAUAACCAGAGGUUUCAUUCUCAGGUGGCAGAUCUGCAGGUUUAAAAACGAACCAGCAGGUCUUAGCAGAGCAUAAAAAAAUUAUCACGUAUAUGCAAAUUAUCUCACAAAAAGGCAUCGGCAGGUUAUAUAUACUGUAGCAUAUGGAAAAUAAAUUAGCAUGUUAAACAUAUUGUUUAUUAGAAUGCCCUUAGACUUCAUUCAAACAGGUAAAUCUAUGUACAAAUAGAAGUAAAAGCAAGUUAAUAAAGGGACAUUUUGGUCCACAUAACUUAAGAGUGAACUAAGGUUGCAAAAAAUUUAAAAAAUGGUGUUCCUAUUUUUCCCAUAGAUCUAUCUUUCCAACACAAAGAAUUCAGAAGUGGUAGUCUAAUCUCUCAAUCUAGGUUUACAAAAUGGAACUCUUGAACAAUUUGUAAUCGUGCCAAGCAUUGCAAGAUAGGAGAUACAUAUACAUUUUUUUUUUCCCUCUCGACUGACGCACAUUAUCAUGUCCUCCUGAUAAGGUUGGGUGCAUAAGACUGCAUGAAAAGCUACAAAUUCUGAAGCCACUUCGGUAGACACUACACUCAAUAUAUUAUCAGAGUAAUGUGAAUUUCCACAAGAAAGUUAAUAUUCACUUAAAAGCUACACUUGCCUGAAACCCCAUUAUCAUGUCUCUCAGCACAUGGCUUCCAUGAGGUAGUAGCUGCGUAGGGAUUCUCCCAGAGUGACGGAGGCUCUUUCGCCUUUGGCAAGAACAUCGAAGAUGAACAACAAAUUAUGACCAAUCCAUAUUCAGAUGCAAAACAAGUAUAUCUUUUCUAAUCAAGAUAAUGAUCUGAUUCCGGUGACAGAAGAAGCAACAUUGUCAAGAGGACCCCAGAGGAAAACUUACACGCGGGCAGCGGAGAGUAAUCCCAUCCUUGCGGCACAAAUAAGGCGCAUUCUGCAACAAAAAUUGAUAAGACAAUGUUCAAAACCAUCCACAAUCAUACAAAUCACAACUCAUAGCUGUUUCUCCAAAUUAUAGCAAGAAAGCAUGAAUUUGGACCAAAUAAUCGAUUAACCCGCACAAAGUUUGGAUUAGAUUUGAUAGCUGCAUUUGAUUUUUUUUUUUGUUUUAUAUUGGAUUUCACCGAUGAUUCCCAAAGUAGGUGUACAAAUUAGCGUUUGAUUAUAGAAUAAGAAGAAAUAUGAUAUGAUAUGAUAUGAUAUGAUUUGAUCUACGUGAUGUAUGGAUAGGUGAGAUGGGCUAUAUUUAUCGAAACCCUAACUCAAGUGAGUAGAAUCACUGAGAUAUUGGAGGGAGUUGAACUCACGAGGUGGCUCCAGAGAGAAGGGAGGGCGAGGACCCCGGCGAAGAGGAGCAAGGCGAGGAUGGCGAGCAAGAUCCGGUAGGAGUGGGGCGCGGAGGGCGACCGCGGAUCCUCGAGGGAGAGGAGCGAUCGGAGGGGAGGGGGGAGGUGGAGGAGGAAGUGUGGGGAGAAGAAGCGGUGGUGGUAGUGGUGAGGGAGCUUGUCCCGGUCCCGAUCCCGAUCGCGUCCUCCUCCGCCUCACCAGCUCGGGGACGACGGACACCACGCCCGGGGCCGACGACGCCGCCGCCGCCGCCGCGGGCGCCCAUGGACGCCGAGUGGCGAAGCUCCGCCAUGGGACGGGCGAGUGUGAGGUUUCUCUCUCUCUCUCUCUCUCUCUCUCUCUAAUAUUCGGGAGGCGGAAAUAGUAGAAUAUAAAUUUAUAUUUUUUACACAUUCUAUAUUUCAAACUUUCCCUGCAAAAUAAUAAAUUACAAAUAUAUUUCUAUAAAAUUUAACUUUUAUUUAUUGUUUCUGUAAAAGUUCUAAUAUUUUUCAAUAUGCCCCUCUAGUUUGUAAUCGUUAAAAUACUGUUUAUUUUUUAAUCAUAAAUAUGUUACUCCAAAAAUCUCAAUUGUUAAUUAAAGAAAGACAAAAAGGUCAAUUCAUCUUAUUAAUUAACUACGAUUAAGUAUUUAAUCUGUGAUUAACUAAAUUUUUGUAACGGAUUCUAAAAACAGAAACAUAUUUAAAAACAUCAGGACUUUUAUAAAGACAAUAUAUGAAAAUUAAACUUUAUAUAAAAUAUUUAUAAUUUACUAUAUUUACAGAGACAUAUAUACAGUUAACCCUUUUUAAAGUACUAUAAUUUAAUUUUAAAUUUUUAAAAAAUCGACCAAAAUAUUUUCAUUUCCUUCGUCUCUUCUCUUCUUUUCUCUCCACGGUCGGUACUUCUAGAAAUAUUCUAGCUUAAUUCUUUUUUUUUAUAUCUUAAUUGUAUAUGUAUAUUAUUUUUUUAUUAGCUAGCUGUUGUUUUUUUUUUAUUAUAGCGAACUUAAUAUUUAAAUAAUUAUAUUGUAUUUUUUUCCUUUUUUAGUAAUAAAAGCAUGUACUGAUAAAAACAUGCGCUGAUUGAAAAAGGCACAUCUGUUGCAUUUAAGGGCUCCAUAACAGCGCAUAUGGACUUCGAUCAAACUCAAUCCACAGAAGUUAAAUCUAUUGCUGGGCCUUUUACCGUUACGUUUAUUCUGAAUUGCAGUCUCAUUCAACUUAUUAGAUUCAUCUAAUUCAGCUUAUUAAUCUUAUAAACUUAUUAUUAUGGAGCAGAAAGUUGGACUAAUUUUAACUAAUAAUAAAUUGCCAACAGUAACGACGAUACUAAAAAUAUCUAUCCACUAACGCAUCCAACUAUAUAACAUAUACUUUUUAGAAAAAUUAAAAAUAAUUGUAAUAUUAUAUGGCAUCAUUUUUAUUUCAAAAAAAAAAAAGCUUAUGUUCAAGCGCAUUCUGUACUCAUUUACCAAUUUAGAAAUAAUAAUUGAGUAGUAUAUAAAUAUCGUCGCCAAUUGUUCUAUACAUUUAUAAUUAAGGCCGAUUGAUUCGAUAGCGGAGAUUGAAAAUACUGACUGGCUGAAGAAAAUGCAGUCUUCGUUAAAAGAUUGCAGGAAGAUUGCAGGAAGAUUGCGUUAGGGGGCAGUAGAAAAGUACGAUAAAAAAUAUCAUAUUUCUUUUCGUAUGUAAUACUGCGUUCCGUAUAUCACAAUGAGGGGCUGUUUGGUUGCAUGCAUUUGUAACUGCAGUGCAGUUACAAAUGCAUGUAAGCUCAAUUCCUGUGUUUGGUUUAAUGCAGUUGAGUCCAACUGCGGCAGUUGCAAUUGCAUAAGAAGGUCUAAAUACUGUAGUUGGAACUACAUCCAAAUUGGCUGCAGUUUCAAUUGCAGCAGUUGAUAAGAAAUAGAAUCACCAACAAAUUAACAAUAAUAAAUAAAUUAUAUAUAUAUAUAUAUAUAUAUAUAUAUAUAUGGAUAAAUAAAAAUACUUAUAAAUAUACUCAUACUAAUAAAAUUUUUUAGGCUAUACAAGUUUGUUGCAAAAAAUUAAAUUUUUUUAAAUUAAUUUUAUUCAAAAUAUAAAAAAUAUAAAUUUUUUCUAAAUUUUCAUAGAAUAUGAUUGUGUUUGUCAACUUAAUUAGUUUUAAUUAAUUAUAAUUAUUAAAUUUGAAAAAAAAGAGAAUCGUGUAAAUUUUUUAAAUUUGAUUUACAUAUUAAAAUUAAAUAAAUUAAAAAUUUUAAAUGUGCCCAUUCAUAAGUUGAAGAGUUAUUGAAAAAUAUAAAAAUAUUAUAUAUAUCCAUUUAUUUAUUUAUAGAUAGUAAAUUUAAAUGAUUAAUAAAAUUAUACAAUUAUUUUAUGUAUAGUGAAGAUAAUCUCACCACUCUAUCUAAAGAGAUGAUAAGAUUCACAAAUGCAACUAUCAGCUUCAAAUUAUCAAACAGAAAAAAUGCAACUGCAACAGUUGCAUCUACAUAAAACCAAAUAAACCAUAUGUAAUUACAACUGCUGCAUUUUCAGCUGCAUGCAUUUUUAACUACACUGCAUUUACAACUAUAUCGAACCAAACGGCCCCUGAAUAUAAUAUAUUUUCUGUAAUCCCAUCGGAAAAUACAGAAAUAUAUUUCUGUAUGUUUUUGCCCGAACUUUAUUUUAUCUUUAUUAGAGUUAAAUGGGCCUCAGAAUUAAAUGAGCUUGUAAUAUGAUCUUGUUAUGGAAUUUUCAAAUGGGUUUCUUUUCACAUUAUGAAUCUGGCCCAGCUUCUUCGAGGCCUAGCCCGGUUCGAGUCGGGCCGGUUUUGUGAGCAUUGAUCCGAUCCGGCUAAUUAUUAAGUCCAAAAAAUAAUCCUUUUACACUUUCUCUUUUAACAUUUAUUUGGUUCUUGUACAAUUUAAUCAAAUCUAGUCACAAAAACAACUUAGAAAACACAUUUAAAUUUAUUUUUGGGGAGGGUUUUCUUAAAAGGAUUUUUCUUCAAGUCAUGAAUCUGACCCAUCUUCUUCGAGCCCAAGCCCGGUUUGAAACAGGCCAGGUUUCGUGAACCUCGAUCCGAUCGUAUACUCUUAUAAGUAUAGAGAUUUUUGUACCCAUUAGUCGUUUUUGAUGAUGGAGCUUCUGAAUCAACAAUUCGUGCUAUAUAUAUAUAGAGAGAGAGAGAGAGAGAGAGGAAGUAGGCUUACUAUACUCUUAUAAAAGUAUAGAAAUUUUUUUACUCAUAAGACGUUUUUAAUGAUGAAGCUCCUGAAUCGAUGAUUCGUAUAAUUAAAUAUAAUUUAGAGCAUUAAAGUAUUUAGAAAUUAAAUUCCGUAAUAUUUCGAACGUAUAAUAAAAUCUAUCAUGUAGGUACGAAAUGAACGAUCAAAAUCGAACGAUCCUUUAAACAUACUGCUGAUCAAAAUCGAUCAUACAUACACAUAUACAUACAUGCAUAUAGAUAUGUACAUGUACAUACAUACGUACAUAUAUAUAAAAAGAAUCGAAAUUGGUUGAAAUUUUGAUAGAAAAUUUUAUUCAUUAUCUAAAUAGAGAUCUAUAAUUCUGAUCAUAAAUUGAAUAAUUUGAUCCUCUAUUUUUAAAAAGUAAUUCGGAUUUGAUCAUUCAUUUUAUGCCCACUUAAUGGACUUUAUUAUAAUUUCAAAAAUUACAAAAUUUUUUUUUUAAAAGUUUAAAAUACUCUAUAUCAUAUUUAACGAUAUGGAUCAUCAGUUUGGAAGGUCCAUAAGUGAAAAUAACUUAUGAGUAUAAAGAGCUCUAUUCUCGAUAUAAUAACCCUUCUCUCUCUCUCUCGUUCUCUCUCUCUCUAUAUAUAUAUAGUAGAGCUACUAUGCUAUCAGAAGCAUAGAUGAUCUGAUGCUUCCGAUUUUUUGGCCUUUAGAUCAACCUUUUUAAUUAUUUCUAACAUUUGGAUUAAUACUAUUAUCCUAUGGGGGCCACUCAACUCUAAGGAUACUACUCAACCCUAGGGGGUACCGCAAUCAUCCUAACCGUACAAUUCUUGAUCCAAGGAUCAAAAAGUCGAAAGCAUAAAACCCUCUAUACUUCCGAUAGCACAAUAGCUCUGCACUAUAUAUAUAUAUAUAUAUAUAGAGUCCAGCUGGGAUACUAUCGAUAGCAUCAAAGGCUUGGUGCUAUUAAGUUUUUCACCGUUAGAUUUAACCAUUUGAUUAUUUUUACCCGUUAGAUUAUACUAUUCAACCAACUACCCACUCAACCCUAGGAGGCCCACAUCAUCCUAACCGCACAUUUCUCAAUGCAAGGGCUAAAAAACUAAUAGUAUCAAUAGCUUGAUGUUAUUAAUAAUAUUCCAGCCUAGUUCUAUAUAUAUAUAUAUGUAUCCAUCUCAACUUGUAACCCACUACAUUGCAUCAUUUAAUUCCCAACCUACCAAGAUUUACUUUAAUUUGUAAUGUAGUUGUUUAGACCCACCAAGUUGCAUUUUUUUAGAUGGUCCAUAUAUACAUUUUCAUAUUUUGUAGUACCAAAACAAACCAAAUCAAGCUCCCAUCUAGAGGCCUCUCACAUGGAAUUGAGGCAUACCUAACUCCCAUAAUGCUUAUCCCUACAUCCAAUCAAGUGGUAUAAUUCUUGAUUGAAGUGGAAGCUGGUGGGCAAAUAGGCAUUUUAAUUUAAGGGAAAACUUCAAAAACCCCCAUGAUUUCGCACUUUUUUACUUUAGUACCCUAUGGUUUAAAGUGUAUCAAGUUAGUACCAUGCGGUUUCUCACUUCAUCACUUUAGUACCCUAUAGUUUAAAGUGUAUCAGGUUAGUUAGUACUCUGUGGUUUUAUUUUUGUAUCAAAGUUAGUACCCUGUGAUUUUAUUUUUGUAUCAAGUUAGUACCCUGUGGUUUUUAAACCACAGGGUACUUUUAAACCAUAGGGUACUAAAGUGAUAAAGUGCGAAACCACGGAGUACUGACUUGAUACACGUUAAACCACAGGGUACUAAAGUGAAAGAGUGCAAAACCACAGGGUACUAACUUGAUACACUUUAAACUACAGGAUACUAAAGUGAGAAAAAGUGAAACCACAAUGGGGGUUUUUGAAAUUUUCCCAUAAUUUAAUCAAAUUUGCUUCGAAGAUUUCAAUGUAGUAAUCUAUAGCUGUACAUCUGUAUCUGUACAUAUACAUUAUUCUUUCUAAAUUUGCCACAUGUCGACGUUCUUUUUAUUGUUGGGUGUGGACUCCAUCUUGAACCGGCAAUGUUCUCUUUAAAAUCGAAAUACCCCUAUUGAUUUUAGAAACUUCUUUAAAUAUUCCUUUUUUUAAGGGUUUACUAAUGGGAUCGAGUUUUAAAACAGUAUUUUGAUAAUUUUAAAAUAAGUUUAUAAAUUUUAAAUAGUUAUAAGGGGGGUAAAUGAGCAAAAGCCUCCCCCCCUUUUUUUUUUAUUGGGGUUAAGAGUUUAGGAGGUGGGUCCAUGAUGGACCCGGUCCGGGCAACAAUUACUCAAAAUUGAAGGACCGGUGCAUGCUCCCGUGAAUGGAAACAAAAGGCUGAGUUGUCACGCAAUAAGGUGACAACGACGUGCACCUCUCUUCCCCGUCCUUUUCGUUCCGUGGACCCGGUCCACAAUAUCGUAUACACUUUUAUUUUCUUUUUGAAAUCACCAUCACCCACCACAAUUUUAUAUUUUAGGGAAAAACAUUUUCCAAAAUUAUUUUCAUUUAGGGGUUGUUUGGUUGUAUACAUUUUCAACUGCACUGCAGUUAGAAAUGCAUGCAUCUAUUAAAUUUUUAUUUGGUUUGGUGUAGUUAAGCCUAACUGUUACAGUUGCAUCUGCACGAGAAAACCUAACUUCGGCCGGAGUCGGCUCAUGCAUUAAAAAAAUAAAUAAAGUGUGAUCUUUUUUCAUAAGCUUUUUUUUUUUUUCCUCUAAGAAUAAUUAUUCAUGAAAUCUGCUAGGAUUUAAUUAUGUCUGCUAGGGUCAAUGAAUUUUUUUAUAUGCUUCUCUUUUUCUUUUCUUUUUUUUUUUAGUUUGCUAGUUUAAUAAUGUUUUAAUUUGUUUUGACCAAAUCUAUAAUAUAUUUACAUCUAAAAUUCAUUAAAUUCAUACAUAAUUUUACAAUAUAUAAAUUAUAUAUAGAUAUAAAAGCCUUAACUAAUAAUUAAAAUAUUAUGCUUAGAAGAGGUAAUCUCAUAUUUCUAUCUAAAAAUUGACAGAAUUUACAAAUACAAAUAUCAACUGUAGACUAACAAACAGAAAAAAUAUAACUGCAACAGUUGCAACUAUAUAAAACCGAACAGACUAGAUAUAGUUAUGACUGCAGCAUUUAUAUAAUUGCAUGUAUUUCCAACUAUACUAUUUUUAUAAAUAUAUCCAACCAAACGGUCCCUUAUAGUGGUGUGAAUUGAGUAGGGAUGCCAAGGGGUUUGAUUUGGAACGGAUUUUUAAAAAUUCAAACUCAAACCGACAACACAAACAGAAAGUCGAAUCUAAAUUUGACAUAUUUUAAAAAUUCAUAUCUAAAAUUAAACAAGGUUAAAAGUUCGAAAUCAGAAUAUGAUCAUUUUCUUUAUCAUAUUUUAGAAUAUAAUAAAUAAAAUUUUCAAAUACAAAUUCUAUAUAAAAUAAAACAUUCACUUGUAUUAUAUAACGCAAAAACUAUUUGGAUUCGGAUCAGGUCCAGACAUUCAUAUCUAAACUCGAAUUUAUCGAAUUUUUAUUUAUUAUAUCCGUAUUCGAAAUUAUAUCUUUGGAAACAAUGUGAGAUUUCCGUACCUUUUAGCAUUCCUAGAAUUGAGAUGAGGGAUUGAGAUGAGGGAUAGCAUAAUAAAGAAAAAAAGCAAAAUUUGUGUAUAAAUAGAGAUUAUAAUAGAUCAAUUUAUAUAUAUGGUAGCUUACUAGUUAUAUAUGGUUACUGAUAAAUUAAUUAGAAUAACUAAAAGGCUGCGUUUGGUUCGGGUAUAAGUAAGAACUGCUAGUUCUAGGGAUAGGUACAAGUUCAGGUAUAAGCAGGAACUAGACCAAUUUUGCGUUUGGAUGAAAUUGGGUUGUUCCUAGGAAUAAGGUAAAUAGUGUUUGGAUGGUUAGAUUGGAACAAGAGGAAUAAGAGUUAUAAUUUGAAAUUAAAAUUAUAUUAUGUAAUUAAUAGUAAUAAAAAUAUUACUUAAAAAUAAAGAAGAAAUUAAUUAUUAAUAAUUAAUUAUAAAUAAUAUUUUUUAUUAAUAAUUAAUUAUAAUUAAUAAAUUAAUAAUAUGGAUGAUCUAAUUAAUAAUAAUAAUUAUUAUUAUUAUUAAUUAUUAAUAAAUAAUAAUUAUUAUUAAUUAUUCUUAUUAAUUAAUUAUAAAUAAUAAAUUAAUAAUAAUAUUGAUUAUCUAAUUAUUAAUAAUAAUUAAUAUUAAUAUUUAUUAAUAAAUAAUAAUUAUUAUUAUUAAUUAAUUAUAAAUAAUAAAUUAAUAAUAAUAUCGAUUAUCUAAUUAUUAAGAAUAAAAAUUAUUAAUAAUUAUUAAUAAAUAAUAAUUAUUAUUAAUUAUAUAUAAUUAAUUAUAAAUAAUAAAUUAAUAAUAAUAAUUAUCUAAUUAUUAAUAUUUAAUUAUAAAUAAUAAAUUAUUUAAAUUAUUUAAUUAUUAAAGUAAUAAAUAAUGAUUUAAAUAUAUUAAUUAGAUUAAUUAAUAAUUUACUGCCAUUAAAAUUAAAUUUAGAUUUUAAUUAAUCUUGUUCUCAUCUAGGAACAAGCUUGUUCCAGAAAACGGGUGGAACAGCAGUUCCAGCCUUAUACCAGCUAGUUCCAGAUUCCCGGGAACUACUGUUCCCGGAAACCAAACAUUGCGUUUGGGAACAAAGGGGGGAACAAGGGCUUAUUCCCCCCCUUGUUCCCGAACCAAACACUACCUAUAGGGAAUUACAUGACUAUAAUAUCGAUUACAAUUUUAUUGUCAUAAAAAUAAAAUAAUGGAGGUCCAAUCCAAUAAUCCAAUUAAGGGUAACAGGAUAAAGUUAAAUAAUAUGAAAAAAAAACUAAAAUACAGUAAAGCUUUUGUAAAUUGCAGCUUUUUACUUUUCCUUUCCGAUUGUUAAAAACUUACAUUUUAUUCACUCAAAAUUUCAAGUUGAUAUAUUUAACUCCCCUUCAUCAAAAUUUCGUCACUAUUUCAUUUUUUUUAAUUUCUAUAAAAAAAAAUUCUUAAAAAUAAUAAAAAUAUAUUAAAAAAUUAAUUUUUUGGUAGAAUAAAUAAGAGUAAUUUACUUAUUUCGCCAUUGACAGCGUAACUCGUGAUAACAUUUCUGAAAUAAUGUAGGUUUUUAAAUGGCCAAUUUGCAUUAAAAAAUCAUUGAUUUUGAGAUUUUGCAUUUUUAUAUUUUACAGAUUUGAUCUGAAUUUUUAAUAAACUGAAUAAUAUACCCUUAUUCUUCUAUCUCUUUUUUUUUUAAAUUUCCGCUCAUCUUUUUUCCGACCAUCUUCUUCCUCCUUACUGUUUCUUCCUCUCUUUCUCCUCCCACUUUUUUCCUUUUUCCUACUCCACCCCGACGCCAGCGCCGCGCUCCUCUCUCUUGCUUCGUCCACACCUCCGCCGAAGAGGUUUUAUUUAUUUUUCUCUUUUGCGCGAUAAAGCUGUUUUUUUUGACACAUCUCUAUAUCUUCAUGAUCUCUUUAUUCCGAAACUUUAAACAACUUAUGAGCCCAUUAUUGUUCCUGUUGUACACUAUCAAUGACUGUGCUGCAUGUCACAAUUUACAUUGCUUUAGAAGUUACAACAAUCAGUCGCACCAGCAUCACAAGCUGCAACAAAAGUUGCAGCAAUGAGCAGGUGCAGGUAAUUGCGAAUGCGACGUCGUGGCACGUACAACAUACCUUCGCAUUUACAUCUUUUGGCUUGCGAAGUUCCUCUCUAUGAUGAACUGCCUCGGCUAAGAGAGAGAGAGAGAGAGAGAGAGAGAGAGAGAGAGAGAGAGAUUUCCGGCGUGGCUUUUUGCGAGAUUCUUCCUGGGGCUUGUCGUCGUCAGUUAGCAGCUAUUAUUGACUGUAAGAAAUAAGAACGAAAUAAAAAGCUCAGUGGUCUUGAAAACAGUACGAACAGACGACGAAAAUUUAUCCUCAAAAACUGGGAGGUUAGGCUCUCAGAAGGUCAGAGGCCUAGUUUCGAAGGGCUUUAUCUAAAAUACACCACUUUUUUUUAUACUACACAAGAUCUAGAAAUUCAAAAGCGCUUAAAAGGUUCUCUCAUCUCUCAUGAUUUUAAACUGGCGGUUACGGUAGCCACUGCAGGAGAAGCAUAGAACUGCAAUUUUCAUCGCCAUUUCAAAGCAUCGAAGAAGGGAAGACUACAUCCGUUUACAGUUUUUUGGGCUCUAGAUCAUCAUUGUGGGUUAAGAAAGCAACACAUUAACAAACAAGGAGCAACACUGCUGAACCUCAAGAACUGCAGCAAGUCUCAACCAUUCCGAUUUCAAGCCCAGCUUUGGGAAUGUGUUUGCUGAACACGAACUGCCUUUAAUUCCGUAAUGCUCCGAGAGUAUUUGGAAGCACUUUAGAGCACUUCAGAGCUCCUCUUCGAUGCUAUGAGAUGUCCAUGAAAACAUCCAAUAGAGAAGCAAUUUACCACAUGCUUAACAAAUUUAUUUUUAACAUCCCGCGGGUGCAGGCUCCAAAGCAAUUUUCAGGUACUUUGGAAGCUUCAGAUCAUUACAGUGGUUACAUUUGGUGAAUAAAUUCCCAGACCAUGCCUUAAGGCUGCAAUAGUCAGGUCUAGAUGGUCUUUAGGUCAGCUUUCUCCUAACGAUUUGGGCAGGUCAACAAUCAAUACCAAUCAAGCUAAUACUGAGCGAAGAGGUCAGGAAUUUAUGAGCAGGAUUUGAACUCUUUAUACUCAAUUGCCUGGAGUUCAGACUCAUAGCAGUUUUGGCCAUGAAUGUAUGACAGAAAGGGAGGAGAGUUACUCACAGCGUUUAGAAGCUUGAGAGCAGCAGAGCGAGUAAACUUUCUCGCAAAGAGGAAGCAGGGGGCUGGUCUUCCUUUGCUAGUGCACCAUUCCCUCCUGUACUCUGUUUCAUAGUUGAUAUUGUCUAUAUCCUGAAACAGAAUGCGAAGGGAGUCACCACUCUCAAACAUCAGGAUACAGCCUGAUUCACUAUAGCCUAAAAGAAUCAUUACGGUACUAAAUUUUAUCGAAGUAAAUAAAAUUUCUUAGAUUGAUCAGGUAAGUGUACAUUGAAGUUGUAAAGCUCUUUCACUUACAUGUGGAGAGGAUGUAUAAUUUAUAACUAUAGUAUAGCCUGAUCUGUUCUAUAGCGUGUGAAUGCCUCCCUUAGCUAUCAAACUCUAAAACUACAUUAGUUUCUUUUAAUUCCCAAUUAUAGCAAAAUGUCCAAUAAGUCCACUAGCAUAAAAAGUGGCUAUUUAUAUUUAUCUUUUCCCUAUUUAGUCAUUUACUUAUUCAAAAGUUGGAAGUAAACUAACCUUUUCUUAACAUUAACAUUGCUUUAUAGAAGUUUUUCCUAGUUUCUUGCUCAUAUAAUAAUUUAAGAAAAGUUUCCAAAACUCAAGUGAAAAUCUAGAUAUACAAAAGAAAAUUAGAUUGGGCUCCACAAAAAAUUAAAGAAAAAAGAAGAAGAAGAAGAAGAAGAUCUUGGACUAUGCCAUGAACAUUCUUCUCAUCCCUUCACCACCAAGUCCAAAUGUAAAGGAGGGAACUUUUUCAGAAGAAAAAGGGGUAUUCAUGCAUCAGUGUUAGUGGUUUCUUAGGCAUAAUCACAAGCACCAAACAAAUAUACUUUUCCUCAUGUAUGGUCAUAAUUCUACGGUGUCCCUUGUCCUUUCUAUUCUUGCAAGAAUGAUGGCUCUUAUACUUCUAUAAAGAUGAAACAUGGCAAUCAUAUGUACUUUUAAGUUUUGCUGUAACUUUGGCAACAUUAUUGUGCAUCAUGCUACCGGGAUGAUUCAAAAUUCAGUCCACCAAAGUGGCGGAAAAUGACACAGAAUGAAUAUGAAAUCAUCGGUGUCCACGAUAAUAGCAAUUCUUGCAUCUAUCUUUUCCCAUAGCACAAAAAAACUGAUUGAACUGUGGAAGUUCACCGAUGAAAAUUUAGGAUUCUUUUGUACAUACCUUUAUAGCUUUUAUCAGAGCCGGAGUAGCAUCUGAAAGUUUGUACAUCACAGGAUGCCACCCACGCCUUUCACGAUCUUUAGAAGAUGAAAGAUCCCAUGCACUAUGAGUCACAGAUCUUCGGGUAAGCUCCCCUUCAAGGUCAUUAUGCUGCAUUAUGAAACUGAAUCAGUACCCUCCAUUACGAAAUAAAGCGCUUGGGUACACACAAAAACAAAAGGCAGUAAAAAUACGAAAAAAAGGAGCCAUUACAAGAAAAGAAUAUUAGUUUCCACUUUAUUCAUCAUAAAAACAAGGGCUUUUUUUGCAUUUAGCCCCCUCAAAACUUUUCUUUUUACAAAUGGCCAUAACAAAUUUAUAUUUGCAUAAAUAACCCUCUCCUUGCCACAUGAGCACUUAAAUUGCGUUUUUAAGUUGAACACGGUGAUUCAAUUACUGUGUUUAAACACGGUGAUUGGAUCACCAUGUUUCUUUUUGUAUUUUUAUCUCCCCUAAGUAUUAUUUAUCAAUAUGGCGCUCACGUGGCAAAGAGAGGGCUAUAUAUAUAAAUAUAAAUUUACUAGGGCCAUUUGUAAAGAGAAAAUUUUGAGAGGGCUAAAUAUGAAAAAAGCCCUAAAAACAAAUAAAAAAAUUAAACAACAAUUAUAGGUAACUGAGAUUAUAGUAACAACUACUAAUUUCAGCAACGGUUAAUACUUCAGAAAAAGGGGGCUCAACAGAUCGAGGCUAUUUCCACCGCUUCCCAAAAUACUUAUGGGUAAAGAACAACAGCCAACGUGUUCAUAACUAGAUCCGAGCACAAAGGGCCCUGACAAGUUGGAUGAAAUAACUACUAGUAAUGUCAAUCCAAUCGGAAGCACAAAACUCUUCCUUUUGAUUCUCAGAUUGUAGCCCUCCUGUAGCUUGGAGCUUCACCAUCUCCCAGAUUAUCCUGAAAGGAAAGGGUUCUCUACAUGCCUGGUGGAAGUCCCGUUCAAUCCUACCCGGUUAGUAUCUCUCCCAGUAACUGGUGGUGAGCUCCUCAUCUAUUAGUAACAAAUCAGCAGCUGGUGGUUCUAGCAUAUCCUUUAGAUCCCACAUGGGAAGUAUAGUAUUUCUUUUCAUUUUGUAUCUUCCUCUCUGAUGUAUGGUUUAGCGACAGUCAAGUAUGAGGUAGCUCAGGCUUCUGGAGCAUAUCAUUAGCCAGGAUCAGUCAUGGGAAUCACAAACAAAUUCGGAGUGGCCUGGUCGAUCAACUUGUUAGUGAACCUUGAUGCUUACUCAGGACCUAUAUUAGAGAAUUUGGCUAUAAAAUUGUUUGCUUCAAGAUCUUGUACAGUAGCACAUUUGUGCAUGAUAUUAAACCUUUGCAAGGUUACACAUAAUGUAUUAAAACUUAAUAAUGGUAUGACUCUAUUAUUAAGCUUGUCUUUUCACAUGUUAAGUAUCAGAAAAGAAAAGGUAGAAGGAUUCAGCAACCAAUAACAAUGAAGGAUUGAAGUCAAUAGAUUAUACACAAGUUAAAGUAGAAGGAUUUGGCAACCAGUAACAAUGCAGGUUGGAACUCAAAAGAUUAUAUACAAAUGCAGAAGGAAACUUACUGCGAUCAACGUCUGAACAUAGUGCUCGUCUGGUAUACAGUUAUGUUCCUUUGAUGCAUCUACAGGCUAAACAAAGAUGAAGACUUCCCCUUUUUAAGAAGUAAUCUCAUUUAUAAUAAAUCACAUAAUGUUUCCAAUUAAUAAUGAGAUAAAAACCGAUAUAAUUGCAUUAAGGGACCAGUAUAGAAUGAAUUUUUGCGAAGUACAAAAAAAUGGAUGAAUUUUUUUUCCUGGAGUAAAUUAAGAAAUCAAGUCGGUGAGGUUUCACCAGAAUAAAUUAUAUUGGUAUAUUCUAAAGAAAGCUGAAAAGAUCAACUUUGUUUGGAGUUAAUUGAGAAUUUGAGUAAACGAGGUCUUCCCAGAAUAAACUGAUCACAUUUUUGGCAUUGUUGCACAUGCCAGACUGGACUUUCAUUACUUGCACAAUACUUUCCAGCAUUUUAAUAUUUUGCAAGCAUAUGCAGAAGUUAAAAGCAUUGGAAUAUUUGGUCACAAAGGAAGCAUAGAGAAGUAUUCUGGAUAUAACUUUAGUGAUCAUAGAGAUUGAAGUGGCAUGAGGUAGGAGUUGUAAAGUUAAAACAAAUUAACAAAAUAGUUAACUGUUUAAUUUCAAACACUUCUUUAUUAUGCCAAGUUCACAACUACGUAAGUAAUAACCAAUGAAAAUAGAUCUCAAGCAUCAAAAUUUUAUAAUUUUGUUUCAUUUGUUAAAAAAAAAAUCCAAAUGCUGAUAAUUUAUUUUAUAGCCUUUUAUCAUUUUUCUAAUGCAUUCGAAAUUAUUUUCUUAUGAAUAUAAAUAUCAAACAAAAAAGUAAUCUAGCAAAACAUUGAAAGAUACAAGACAAUGGCACAUAAAUGUAGUCUCAGAAGCUAUCACUUACAAUAGGAUGAUCCCGCCAGAACUCUGGUAAUGAUCUCCUCUGCAACAUCCAUGGACGAGCAAAUUACUAGAGUGAGACUACAUUUGAAAUUUUGAACCUUAACAAAGUCACAAAUUAGUACUAAGUGGUAUAAAAUGGCUUACUAUAUUAAAUCAACAAAAGAUUGUCACAAAAAAGUGAUCACCAAAUCACACAUUAAUGGCUGGUCUUUCUUAUCACUCACUAUUAAUCACAAGUUUUUACACAUGUCGUCUUACAGAUACAGUGCACACCAGAAAUUUAGAUAAAUACACAAGAUCUACCAGAUCUACCAUUAAAUGACAUCUAUCUUUACAAUGAUUUGUAUUAUAUGGCCGAUGUGGCCAAGACAGGUCUAUAGCAGAUGACCAAUUUCUGUAGAAUAUCUUAUUGAAAUGCAUAUUAGUUUGGGUAUAGCUUUGAUGAUACAGGACGCUCAUAUUAGGUUUUGAAUAGACAUUUAGAGUUUAAAGACAAUAUCAGGUUCAUGGUUUAAACAUCAGCUAUACGGCAUAAAGAAAACUGAGCAGAUCCAAUAUCACUAUGAGAUGCAUAUAAAGAUUCUCCAUAUUGAAAAUGAUAUUACAAACGUACCCUGCAAUGCUUUUGAAAUUCUGGGAACAAUAUAUCAUCAGCAACCACUACCUCAGCAUGUUUUCUUAUUAACACAGCCCACUACAGCAAAAUCGCAAAAGAGCAUAAAGUGAAAAAAGGUAUACGAUACUCUGGUAAAGGUAAAGAAACUCCUCACUUAUAUCUCUAUCUAUUAAGUAAUGAAUAUAGUACCUGAGAACCUUUCCUCCAAUUAUGCACGGGAAUUACAGGAUGCAUUCUUGGAUUAUAUCGACCUUCUUUUGUAUCCGCAAAACUGCUUCAAGCAUUAUAUGACCAGAUGCUAUUAGAAUCUAGUGUCCAUUACACACACAUCCAGAUAUCUCACAAUGCAUCUAGUACAAUUAAAUAGAAGGAUACAAAUAGAGAGCUUCGAUAGCAAGUGCAGAGAGAGAAUAUCUACAAAAGACACAUGAAUUCAAGUCUGUGGCAAAACUGCUCCAAGUUGUCAAAUGAGAUUUAUGAUACUAUAUGGAAAAUUAAUUAAAACAUGAACCCAACAAUAUUAUGACGAAGAAGCAAUCAUGCCACAGAAAGUAGAACCAAACUAGCAACAAGACAAGAAAUAGGUCUGAAUUAGGAAAGAGGAGCCUAUCAGCAUCCCACCUGAGCCUGAUAAUGUGUUCAUAUAUUGACAAAGCUGAAUAAUAUGAGUACUUUGAAAUUUUGAAACUAAAUCUGAUGCCUCACGUCAAUCAUAAAGUCCUUUUAAUCAAAGGGAUACAUAAACAAUUACGCUGGCAAAACUCAUUAGCAGAAAAUUCAUUGGCUGAUAAUCUAGAGAAAAUGAGCUUAGCAAAGUUUAAUAUUGCUUCAGUUUUCUGUCAGCAGAGUGUUCUCCCAAGAUCCUCCUCAGUUUAGGUGGCAGCGAUGCUCUCAAUUGAGGUAUAUUAAUGUAUAUUGAUUAAGGAAGAGGAUUUAUGAAAACGACCAUCAUUGAUCCUGAUGGAAAAUAUAAUUUGUUGAAAGUUUGAAUGAGGCAGAGAGCUACUGUCUCCCAAUAAUUAUUUGCAAAGUUAAUAAAAAUUAUCUCUUUCACUACUAGUAUAUCUUUGAUCUUAAAUAAACUGAGCAUUCUGUCAAUAGCUGAACUGGUUUAUUGUGUAGUAUCUUAUUAAGAAUGCUUGGCAAAUUCUGCUCCUUAUGUUAAGAAUGGCUUUCAAAGUUAGCAUAAAGGAGGAUUUUCACAAUCCGUAAGUACAAAUGGUGGAUGUGAUGGUUACAUUAACAGAAGAAUAAAAAAAAAAAAGGGAUUUCCUUAUGGCAAACUAGGCGUGAAUAAAAUUCUUCAUUAAAAUGCCACAAGCAGGAGUAAGAUGCAGCUGUUUCUUAAAAUGGCCACGGCAAUUGUCACCAAGAAGAAAAGUAAUUUGUAUCACAAGAACCUUGCUUACAAGAAAAAUUGAGAGAUUUUACAUA
rnacentral:lncRNA from 1 species